rnacentral:tRNA from 1 species
GGCCCUAUCGUCUAGCGGUCUAGGACACCACCCUCUCAAGGUGGAGACACGGGUUCGAUUCCCGUUGGGGCUACCA